rnacentral:rRNA from 1 species
AUUGAACGCUGGCGGCAGGCCUAACACAUGCAAGUCGAACGAGUGGCGGACGGGUGAGUAAGGUCUGGGAAACUGCCUGAUGGAGGGGGAUAACUACUGGAAACGGUAGCUAAUACCGCAUAACAUCAGAUGUGCCCAGAUGGGAUUAGCUUGUUGGUGGGGUAACGGCUCACCAAGGCGACGAUCCCUAGCUGGUCUGGGAGGAUGACCAGCCACCCUGGAACUGUGACACGGUCCAGGCGCCUACGGGAGGCAGCAGUGGUGAAUAUUGCACAAUGGUCGCAAGCCUGAUACAGCCAUGCCGCGUGUAUGAAGAAAGCCUUCGGGUUUUAAAGUACUUUCAGCGGAGAGGCGUUACCCGCAGAAGAAGCACCGGCUAACUCCGUGCCAGCCGCCGCGGUAAUAC